rnacentral:sRNA from 1 species
UACAGAGAGUAGAUGCCGAUGAGACGCCA